UACGUAGGGGGCAAGCGUUGUCCGGAAUCAUUGGGCGUAAAGAGCGUGUAGGCGGCCUGAUCAGUCUGCUGUGAAAGUCCAGGGCUUAACCCUGGAAUGCCGGUGGAUACUGUCAGGCUUGAGUCCGGAAGAGGCGAGUGGAACUCCUGGUGUAGCGGUGGAAUGCGCAGAUAUCAGGAAGAACACCAAUGGCGAAGGCAGCUCGCUGGGACGGUACUGACGCUGAGACGCGAAAGCGUGGGGAGCAAACAGG
rnacentral:rRNA from 1 species